rnacentral:tRNA from 2 species
GCGGGUAUAGCUCAGUGGUAGAGCGUUUGCUUCCCAAGCAAAAUGUCGCGCGUUCGAAUCGCGUUACCCGCU